ACUCGUUAAUGGCAGUUGCAUGCGUUGCAUGGGUGUAAACGGACGGACGUACAGUCGGACAGACAGCUGCAGUGUCAUCAUCUUGCUCUGUGCGUCUUAUUGUACGGAACGAGCUUGAAGUGUCGGAAGUUCGAAAAGGAGCAAGUUGCUACUAUGCCUCAGCGAAAACUAACCAAAGUCACGUUACUAUUAAUGUUGCCUGUUUGGCCAAGAGAAUUCGCGAUGUAGCCUCUUAUACAGUCGAUCUCAUUGCAUUCGCGUUUAUUCCUCAUCCGAUGUACCGAGAAGUAUCGGGAGCAUUUCGUGCAACAUUUUCAAAGCCAAGUCGCAUGAAAUCUCCUGUUGUUGUUCUCGUAAAAACAUUUGUCUAUUGUCGUGUCACCCUCUGUCGUUAUUCUCGACCUUUUCAUCUACGUUCAUAUCUCCGUUGUCAUCAUUCUCAAGUGCCUUCUCUUUCCCUCUUUCACACUUUUAACUCACUAUUUUCUGAUUUCAACCACGCGAAAAGUCAGUGUAUGCAUCGAGUGACGUACUAAUAUAUUUGUUAUUUCGAUAUGAGGUGGAUGGCUCAUUCCAAAAUGCAUCGCAUUUAUUAGACAUCUUUAAAAUAAAUGGAUUUUUUUGCCAACUAAAAGGCAAAGUGUUCUUAUUUGAUACAUAGAAUAAAAGAAAAAGAUGUCCCAAUUAAGUAUUAGUACUGGGAAGAGAGGGAGGAGUGUUGCAAGCUCCUCCGCAUCUACUGUAUCAUCUCUAAGCAGCUCAACUGACUUAGCAAGCCUAUUUGAAUGUCCAGUUUGCUUUGAUUAUGUUCUUCCACCAAUCUUACAAUGCCAGAGUGGACAUCUUGUUUGUAGUAAUUGCAGACCAAAACUUAACUGCUGUCCUACCUGUAGAGGUCCAUUAGGUAAUAUCCGCAAUCUGGCAAUGGAAAAAGUGGCAGGUAACGUGAUGUUUCCUUGCAAAUAUUCAACAAGUGGAUGCACAGUGUCACUAGUGCAUACUGAAAAGGCAGAUCAUGAAGAUGCAUGUGAAUUCCGUCCAUACAGUUGUCCUUGUCCAGGAGCUUCUUGUAAAUGGCAAGGAUCUCUCGAACAAGUAAUGCCACAUCUUGUUAUGAGUCACAAAAGCAUUACAACUCUUCAAGGGGAAGACAUUGUUUUUUUAGCAACAGAUAUUAAUCUUCCUGGUGCAGUGGAUUGGGUAAUGAUGCAGUCUUGCUUUGGUCAUCAUUUUAUGCUAGUGCUUGAAAAACAAGAAAAGUAUGAUGGACAUCAACAAUUUUUUGCAAUUGUUCAAUUGAUUGGUUCAAGAAAACAAGCAGAAAACUUUGCUUACAGACUAGAAUUGAAUGGGCAUAAAAGGCGCCUAACAUGGGAAGCUAUGCCGCGUUCUAUUCACGAAGGUGUUUCAUCUGCAAUUUUAAAUUCAGACUGCCUUGUAUUCGACACCUCCAUCGCGCAAUUAUUUGCCGAUAAUGGAAAUCUAGGAAUUAAUGUUACAAUUUCUAUGGCAUGAGGAAAGCUGGAAAAAGCAGUGAAAUCUAACUUACGCUAAUACACAGUGCAUUGAAUUAUUUCUUCUGGUGAGCAUUACAAAGAUUGAUAACAUUAUUCCAUCUACUUUAAUUUUAUGAAGAAAAAGUAUUAGAGUAUAUGUAUCAGCAAUAUAUACGGGAACACGAAAGUAGUUGGUAUACGAUAAACAGGUGCAAAAUAAUAGAAUAAAAUUGCGCAAUUUCAUCCUUUUUUACUGACAUAAAAAUGAACAAACUUAUAUAAGGAGAAAUUAUAAUUUCAGGAAUACAUAGUUCCACUAAAUUGGUGCAUAGUAGUUUUAUAAAUAAUAAGUGACAUUGUAAAUAAUUUUCAAACUAUCGUCCGUAUAAAUUUUUCGAGUGUCAUGUAUCAAAUUUGAGGAAAUUCGAUGAUGAUUAUACAGGUAAACAAGGUUGAUUAACGUUUGUGCAUUAAGAACAAAAGAAAUUAAAAUUGCAUGAACUUGAUCCUAAUCAAAUUUGAGAUUCUCAGGUCAAAACCAAAAUGUGGAAGACAACCGUUUUUACAUCACCAUGAAUAAACGCAUAUAAAUUGCUUAACAUUCCAGAUAUAGGUGAAAAGUUAUUGUAAAUAGAACAAAUUUGACAUGUGUGAUAAAAUUAUUAAUUGGUAAUUAAAUUAACAUGUAAACAUGCAUAUGUAUGAAGUUCAAAGUUGAAUAUGGGAACCAACUGCAUGUUAUGCAUAUGUAUAAGUAUAUAUAAAUAUAUAAGCAUGACACACACACACACAUGAUAUAUAACUAUAUAAAAGUGUAUUUAUAUAUAUGUAUAUAUAUGCGCAUAUAAAACUUAUACAAUUACUUUUAAGUUUACAUAAGUGUAUUGCAAAAUGAAAUACUUAAUUUUGAUGGUUUUAAAGUUUCUGCAGUUUUGGCGGUUACUAAAAAAAAAAGACAUUCGAAUGUAACAUUCACGUUAAUUGUUAUACUAUCAGACGGUAUCAGAUUACCUCCCUCCCCUAUAGUCGUAAUGCAUCAAUGGAACCGCAUAUUUUGCACAUUUAGAUGUAAUUAAAAAUAUCUGUUGGAGAACUAUUAUAUUAAAAAGCUUGAUGAUAGAACUAGAACAGAACUGACCGGAUAAAAUAUUACUGAAAAACAAAGUACGCUAGUAAUUAAAUACGAUCUUAAAUACGGUCAAUAACGAUCGUUCCGAGUAUUAAAGUGCGAAUUUCGUUAAAAGAAUGAUAUAUGUAUCAUUAAGAUGUAUAUACAUAUAAUUUAAUGAUAUUAUUUAGAUAUUUAUAUAUAGAUAUAAAUCUAAAAUUCAUCACAAUGUAAGGUUUAAUUGUUCGUUAUAGCAAUUUAUUCUUACAGAUAACGAAGGUAUUAUACAUAUUUGUACCAAUACAAUCACUAAAAAUAGUUAAUUCACUCCUUAAUUGCAUAUGUUUUCGAAAUGUUGUAAAAAUAAGUUAAAUUCUUAAAUAACAUAUUCGCUAUAAAUAUUAAGCAUUAAUUAAUAUUGAAAUUUUUAUAAUGACUUAGUAAUUUUCAUUACGAUGUGAAAAAAGAAACAAUGUGUUGAAAGUAAUGUUACAUUAAGGAUUAAAUUAUAUGUAGACAUUGUAGACUUAUAUAUUAUAUUAUAAUCUGUAAUUUGGUUCUACAUACAACAUAAACUUUUAUGGACGACGAUUUUUUUAUAAUAUAACGAUAAAAUUUCUAUAUAUUCCCCUAAUUUUAAUUGGAUAAUUUAUUCUCAGUUACGUAUAAGAUUAUAAAUGAAUACUUCGAUAUUGGUAGUAUUAAAUAUGAUUAAAUAUAAUACUACAGAUCCUGUUCCUAAACGUCGAAUAAAUUUGUUAUUACAUUAAUAUUGUAUGUGAAAGUUUGUCAAGGUACCUCUUCCAUAUUUGUAUUAUAUAUAAGUUACGCAAUUUACCGCGUAUACGUUAAAUUAUUUGAGAAAACAAGACCUCAAAAUAAUUAUGUCAAAAUGCUCUUUAAAAUUUAUAAGUAGCACAAAAAAUUAUUAACAAUACACGCAUUCUAAUCUUUUUUUAUAAUAAAAAAAAAAAAUGAUGACUGUUAUACGUACUAUCAAAAUCGAUACAGUGCCAUCUAGGAACAAUACGAGAAUAUGCUUGGAAUAAAUCGCGCUCGAAUCCAGGGUUUGAAUUCUUCUCUAUAUUCAAGCUAGAUCGUGCUUGCGCGAAUUCUACUUGUUGCUCGGAAACACGUUUCGUGGUCAGCAUUUAUCCGAAGUUUUCUUAAAAGAUUAUUACAGUUUUAAAAAGCCGUUACAUCGUACACGAAGAAAAUGGCAAACUAUCACAAACCAGAAUCGAAAACCAUUCUAGAAUUGAAAGAUAUUGCGACAAAGUUGAGAAUUCAUUCGAUCAAUGCCACACAAGCCAGUAAAUCCGGAGCAGUCGCAUAGUCAACACGUGCACAAUACCAAAAUGCACGCUAUGAAGUAGUUACGUAAUAAACAUACGAUAGUGUUGAAGAAUCAAGAGCAUAUAGAAUAUUGAAAGAGCUGGACAUACCAUAUAAAAUUGUGUACCCUCAAAUAUGAUAAAAACGAUUGCUACAUAGUUUAAGAAUUUGAUUAUUAGUCUAUUAUUCAUCUUUUCACGAUACCUGUAACUUUUAUAAUAAAGUUCAUGGAAUUAUCAAAAA